UAGGGAAUAUUGGACAAUGGGGCAACCCGUGAUCCAGCAAUGCCGCGUGAGUGAUGAAGGCCUUAGGGUUGUAAAGCUCUUUUACCCGGGAUGAUAAUGACAGUACCGGGAGAAUAAGCCCCGGCUAACUCCGUGCCAGCAGCCGCGGCAAUACGGAGGGGCUAGCGUUGUUCGGAAUUACUGGGCGUAAAGCGCACGUAGGCGGCGAUUUAAGUCAGAGGUGAAGGCCCGGGGCUCAACCCGAUAGUCUUUGAGACUGGAUUGCUUGAACAUCGGAGAGGUGAGUGGAAUUCCGAGUGUAGAGGUGAAAUUCGUAGAUAUUCGGAAGAACACCAGUGGCGAAGGCGGCUCACUUGGACGAUUGUUGACGCUGAGGUGCGAAAGCGUGGGGAGCAAACA
rnacentral:rRNA from 1 species